rnacentral:lncRNA from 1 species
AUUGAUUUGCCCUUAUCUUUUGUCUCCGUUGUUUUUUCUCCCAAUGAUGCUGAGGUAUCCUUUACAGGCAAUUCUUGUGAAGCUGCCUCCCGAGCCUUGUCUCCUCGAGUUUGCCUCUUAAAAGAAUUUCCUUCUCUAAUAUCAUCAAAAUUUCCUCGUCUUUUUUCUUCCAUCAAAGCUUCAUGUUGGCUCUUAGCAAUAUAUGCAUGAACUGAAAGAGACUCAACAUGAUCCUCCCAACCUGUUCUUCCUCGUAUUGUAGCUGCAGUUCUCAAUAACGCUUCUCGAGGUAAUUUCCCUUCUUGCAUUGUAGAAACGGCAGAAGCCCAAAACUCACUAGUUUCCGUACUUCCACCAAUUUCAUCAUCUACUCUAGCACCAUAACUUGCACUUUCUCGUACUACUGUUUCAUGCUCUUUUAAGUAAUCUUGAACCAAUGCAC